rnacentral:rRNA from 1 species
GAUUGAACGCUGGCGGCAGGCUUAACACAUGCAAGUCGAGCGGAGAUGAGGUGCUUGCACCUUAUCUUAGCGGCGGACGGGUGAGUAAUGCUUAGGAAUCUGCCUAUUAGUGGGGGACAACAUUCCGAAAGGAAUGCUAAUACCGCAUACGCCCUACGGGGGAAAGCAGGGGAUCUUCGGACCUUGCGCUAAUAGAUGAGCCUAAGUCGGAUUAGCUAGUUGGUGGGGUAAAGGCCUACCAAGGCGACGAUCUGUAGCGGGUCUGAGAGGAUGAUCCGCCACACUGGGACUGAGACACGGCCCAGACUCCUACGGGAGGCAGCAGUGGGGAAUAUUGGACAAUGGGCGGAAGCCUGAUCCAGCCAUGCCGCGUGUGUGAAGAAGGCCUUUUGGUUGUAAAGCACUUUAAGCGAGGAGGAGGCUACCUGGAUUAAUACUCUAGGAUAGUGGACGUUACUCGCAGAAUAAGCACCGGCUAACUCUGUGCCAGCAGCCGCGGUAAUACAGAGGGUGCGAGCGUUAAUCGGAUUUACUGGGCGUAAAGCGUGCGUAGGCGGCUGAUUAAGUCGGAUGUGAAAUCCCUGAGCUUAACUUAGGAAUUGCAUUCGAUACUGGUCAGCUAGAGUAUGGGAGAGGAUGGUAGAAUUCCAGGUGUAGCGGUGAAAUGCGUAGAGAUCUGGAGGAAUACCGAUGGCGAAGGCAGCCAUCUGGCCUAAUACUGACGCUGAGGUACGAAAGCAUGGGGAGCAAACAGGAUUAGAUACCCUGGUAGUCCAUGCCGUAAACGAUGUCUACUAGCCGUUGGGGCCUUUGAGGCUUUAGUGGCGCAGCUAACG